UUUAUGGAGAGUUUGAUCCUGGCUCAGGACGAACGCUGGCGGCGUGCCUAAUACAUGCAAGUCGAGCGGACCUUAUAAGAGCUUGCUCUUAAGAGGUUAGCGGCGGACGGGUGAGUAACACGUGGGCAACCUGCCCUGUAGACUGGGAUAACUUCGGGAAACCGGAGCUAAUACCGGAUAAUCAAUGACACCACAUGGUGUCAUUGUAAAAGUUGGGAUACUAACACUACAGGAUGGGCCCGCGGCGCAUUAGCUAGUUGGUGAGGUAACGGCUCACCAAGGCGACGAUGCGUAGCCGACCUGAGAGGGUGA
rnacentral:rRNA from 1 species